rnacentral:rRNA from 1 species
UACGUAGGGUGCAAGCGUUGUCCGGAAUUAUUGGGCGUAAAGAGCUCGUAGGCGGUUUGUCGCGUCUGCUGUGAAAACCCGAGGCUCAACCUCGGGCCUGCAGUGGGUACGGGCAGACUAGAGUGCGGUAGGGGGAGAUUGGAAUUCCUGGUGUAGCGGUGGAAUGCGCAGAUAUCAGGAGGAACACCGAUGGCGAAGGCAGAUCUCUGGGCCGUAACUGACGCUGAGGAGCGAAAAGCGUGGGGGAGCAAACAGG